rnacentral:rRNA from 1 species
UACGUAGGGAGCAAGCGUUGUCCGGAAUCAUUGGGCGUAAAGCGCGCGUAGGUGGCUUCGUAAGUCCGUUGUGAAAGUCAAAGGCUCAACCUUUGAAAGCCGAUGGAUACUGCGGAGCUAGAGUACGGAAGAGGCGAGUGGAAUUCCUGGUGUAGCGGUGGAAUGCGCAGAUAUCAGGAGGAACACCAAUUGGCGAAAGGCAGCUCGCUGGGACGAUACUGACGCUGAGACGCGAAAGCGUGGGGAGCAAACAGG